GACGAACGCUGGCGGCGUGCUUAACACAUGCAAGUCGAACGGAAAGGCCCUGCUUUUGUGCGGUGCUCGAGUGGCGAACGGGGGAGUAACACGUGAGUACCCUGUCCCUGACUUUGGGGGAUCUUCAGGAAACUGGGGCUAUUACCGCAUAGGAUCUCUUGCUUCAUGUUGGGCGUUGGUAAGUUUCGGCGGUUGGGGAUGUACUCGCGGCUUAUCAGCUUGUUGGUGGGGUAGUGGCUUACCAAGGUUUUGAGGGGUAGCCGGCCUGAGAGGCUUGACGGACACAUUACGCCUGCGGUACGGCCCAGACUCCAACCGGACGCAACAGUGGGGAGUAUUACACAACGGGGGGAAGCCAGAUACGACAAUGCCGCGUGCGGAAAGCCCGGCUUCGGGUUGAGAACAAAUUUCGCAUGAGCCGAAGCGUGAGUGACGGUAAUGGGUAAAGAAGCACCGGCUAACUACGUG
rnacentral:rRNA from 1 species